UAAGGAAUAUUGGUCAAUGGACGGAAGUCUGAACCAGCCAUGCCGCGUGGAGGAUGAAGGUCCUCUGGAUUGUAAACUUCUUUUAUUUGGGACGAAAUGAUCUUUUUCUAAAGGUUUUGACGGUACCAGAUGAAUAAGCACCGGCUAACUCCGUGCCAGCAGCCGCGGUAAUACGGAGGGUGCAAGCGUUAUCCGGAUUCACUGGGUUUAAAGGGUGCGUAGGCGGACACUUAAGUCCGUGGUGAAAUCUCCGGGCUUAACCCGGAAACUGCCAUGGAUACUAUUUGUCUUGAAUGCUGUGGAGGUUAGCGGAAUAUGUCAUGUAGCGGUGAAAUGCAUAGAUAUGACAUAGAACACCAAUUGCGAAGGCAGCUGGCUACACAGAAAUUGACGCUGAGGCACGAAAGCGUGGGGAUCAAACAG
rnacentral:rRNA from 1 species